GGCCCAAAUUUAAAGCAGGCUAGGUUGGUAGGAUCGGAUAACUCUACUAAUCUACUCUACUUCAAGUUUGUGCCC
rnacentral:pre_miRNA from 1 species